rnacentral:tRNA from 1 species
AAAUAAGAAGCAUUAAUGCAUUUAGUUUCGACCUAAAAUUUAAUAGUAAAUAAUCUAUUCUUAUUUA